rnacentral:rRNA from 1 species
UAGGGAAUCUUCCGCAAUGGGCGAAAGCCUGACGGAGCAACGCCGCGUGAGUGAUGAAGGUCUUCGGAUCGUAGAACUCUGUUAUUAGGGAAGAACAAAUGUGUAAGUAACUAUGCACGUCUUGACGGUACCUAAUCAGAAAGCCACGGCUAACUACGUGCCAGCAGCCGCGGUAAUACGUAGGUGGCAAGCGUUAUCCGGAAUUAUUGGGCGUAAAGCGCGCGUAGGCGGUUUUUUAAGUCUGAUGUGAAAGCCCACGGCUCAACCGUGGAGGGUCAUUGGAAACUGGAAAACUUGAGUGCAGAAGAGGAAAGUGGAAUUCCAUGUGUAGCGGUGAAAUGCGCAGAGAUAUGGAGGAACACCAGUGGCGAAGGCGACUUUCUGGUCUGUAACUGACGCUGAUGUGCGAAAGCGUGGGGAUCAAACAGG